rnacentral:rRNA from 1 species
UUAAAUUGAAGAGUUUGAUCAUGGCUCAGAUUGAACGCUGGCGGCAGGCCUAACACAUGCAAGUCGAACGGUAACAGGAAGCAGCUUGCUGUUUCGCUGACGAG